GUCAGAAGCAGAGUAUGAGGCCAUGACAGUACCUAGGUAAGGACUACUAGCCAGUCAGAAGCAGAGUAUGAGGGCCUGACAGUACCUAGUAAGGACUACUAGCCAGUCAAGCAGAGUAUGAGGGCCCUGACAGUACCUAGGAAGACUACUAGCCAGUCAGGAUCAGAGUAGGAGG